UACUAAAAAAGUGUGAACUGUCAGGAAUUUAGAGCAAAAUUUAAGGCCAAGGAACCAAUCUGGUAGCAUAGCUGAAGAUAUUUUUUUUUUUCGUUUGGAUACUUUGGCCUAACAUUUUAAAUUCACUUUGAAUUCCAGACAAUUUUUCCUUUAGUAAAUAACCCAGUUAAACUUCAAAUCUUAAAGGGACAUUAUAGUCAACAAAAAAACAUUAGCUUAAUGAAGCAGUUCUAGUGCUCUCUCUUUAGUGCCUCUGGAGUUGCACUGCUCAUUUCACUGCUGUUUAGGACUUAAAUCACUUUUGUUUCUGUUUAUGCAGCCCUAGCCACACCUCCCCUGGCUGUGAC